rnacentral:rRNA from 1 species
UACGUAGGUGGCAAGCGUUGUCCGGAUUUACUGGGCGUAAAGAGCGCGCAGGCGGUCGUUCAAGUCGCGUGUGAAAGCCCCCGGCUCAACUGGGGAGGGUCACGCGAUACUGAUCGACUCGAAGGCAGGAGAGGGAAGUGGAAUUCCCGGUGUAGUGGUGAAAUGCGUAGAUAUCGGGAGGAACACCAGUGGCGAAGGGCGGACUUCCUGGCCUGUUCUUG